UACGAAGGGGGGCUAGCGUUGUUCGGAAUUACUGGGCGUAAAGCGCACGUAGGCGGAUAUUUAAGUCAGGGGUGAAAUCCCAGAGCUCAACUCUGGAACUGCCUUUGAUACUGAGGACCUUGAGUUCGGGAGAGGUGAGUGGAACUGCGAGUGUAGAGGUGAAAUUCGUAGAUAUUCGCAAGAACACCAGUGGCGAAGGCGGCUCACUGGCCCGAUACUGACGCUGAGGUGCGAAAGCGUGGGGGAGCAAACAGG
rnacentral:rRNA from 1 species